UUGCACAAGUGAGUGUACAUAGCACUCUGUACAUCCAUGGAACCUGUCAACUCUCCCUUAUUUACAGGGAGUCUCCCGCUUUUUGGACACCAGGACCACUCUCGGGACAGGUUUUCUCCUGUCUUUUGCUCAAAACUACUGGUGCCAUAGCUCCUCCUUUGAUGACUAGAUCAACGUGCAGUAGCAAACUCAGCCUUUAGGUGUGCUGUGUGUUGAAAGUAACAAUGCCAGCUGGACCUGUUUACUGUAUUGGGGGCUGCCAAAUUAGCCACCUACAACUACAGCACAAGAACCACAGGGGCGUCGUAACCAGAGCGGACAUUCUGCCGAGGUCAAAGCCACCUACAACUACAGCACAAGAACCACAGGGGAGUCGUAACCAGAGCGGACAUUCUACCGAGGUCAAAGCCACCUACAACUACAGCACAAGAACCACAGGGGCGUUGUAACCAGAGCGGACAUUCUGCCGAGGUCAAAGCCACAUACAACUACAGCACAAGAACCACAGGGGCGUCGUAACCAGAGCGGACAUUCUACCGAGAUCAAAGCCACAUACAACUACAGCACAAGAACCACAGGGGAGUAGUAACCAUAGCGGACAUUCUACCGAGGUCAAAGCCACCUACAACUACAGCACAAGAACCACAGGGGCGUCGUAACCAGAGCGGACAUUCUGCCAAGGUCAAUGCCACAUAUAACUACAGCACAAGAACCACAGGGGCGUCGUAACCAGAGCGGACAUUCUGCCGAGGUCAAAGCCACCUACAACUACAGCACAAGAACCACGGGGAGUCGUAACCAGAGCGGACAUUCUGCCGAGGUCAAAGCCACCUACAACUACAGCACAAGAACCACAGGGGAGUUGUAACCAGAGCUGACAUUCUACCGAGGUCAAAGAAGUCCCCUGGGUCGACAUUUUCUAUACCUUUUAGGAUUUUAGCUCAUUAAGG